rnacentral:piRNA from 1 species
UGGUUUAAUUUUGUUUUCCUCCAG